AACGCUAGCUACAGGCUUAACACAUGCAAGUCGAGGGGCAGCAUGAUUGAAGCUUGCUUCAAUUGAUGGCGACCGGCGCACGGGUGAGUAACACGUAUCCAACCUUCCGUACACUCAGGGAUAGCCUUUCGAAAGAAAGAUUAAUACCUGAUGGUAUCUUAAGCACACAUGUAAUUAAGAUUAAAGAUUUAUCGGUGUACGAUGGGGAUGCGUUCCAUUAGGUAGUAGGCGGGGUAACGGCCCACCUAGCCUACGAUGGAUAGGGGUUCUGAGAGGAAGGUCCCCCACAUUGGAACUGAGACACGGUCCAAACUCCUACGGGAGGCAGCAGUGAGGAAUAUUGGUCAAUGGACGAGAGUCUGAACCAGCCAAGUAGCGUGAAGGAUGAAGGUCCUACGGAUUGUAAACUUCUUUUAUAAGGGAAUAAAACCUCCCACGUGUGGGAGCUUGUAUGUACCUUAUGAAUAAGCAUCGGCUAACUCCGUGCCAGCAGCCGCGGUAAUACGGAGGAUGCAAGCGUUAUCCGGAUUUAUUGGGUUUAAAGGGAGCGCAGACGGGUCGUUAAGUCAGCUGUGAAAGUUUGGGGCUCAACCUUAAAAUUGCAGUUGAUACUGGCGUCCUUGAGUGCGGUUGAGGUGUGCGGAAUUCGUGGUGUAGCGGUGAAAUGCUUAGAUAUCACGAAGAACUCCGAUUG
rnacentral:rRNA from 1 species